rnacentral:rRNA from 1 species
GACGAAGGGGGCUAGCGUUGGUUCGGAAUUACUGGCGUAAAGCGCGUGUAGGCGGUUGUCCAAGUUGGAUGUGAAAGCCUUGAGCUUAACUCAAGAAAUGCAUUCAGGACUGGAUGACUAGAGGACCGGAGAGGAUAGUGGAAUUCCCAAGUGUAGUGGUGAAAUGCGUAGGAGAUCGGGAAGAACACCAGUGGCGAAGGCGGCCGGCUGGGGGGCGCCCUGACGGCUGAGGCGCGAGAGCGUGGGG